rnacentral:rRNA from 1 species
GUGAUCAGCGCGUUCCAUCAGAACGUGCGGAACCACAGGAUGCGGGAGGAAAUGGCGAUGUGCAAGAUCAGGGACAUCAGUGAGUUAUAUGCACUGGCCGACAAGUGUGCACGUGCUGAGGAAGGGAGGAGACUCCCCGGAGAGAAUGUAGGAGCAGGAGGAUCUGACAGUGAGGAUGCUACCCCGCCAAGGAAAAACUGGCAGUGGAACAACAGAAGGAGGAAAGGCAAAGAGGUGCUAGUUGUUGAGCAGUCCGACAACGGUGGUGGCGCCAAGGAAGCCAAAGCUGGUGACUCCGGCAAGGAGGUU